CCUACGGGGGGCAGCAGUGGGGAAUAUUGCACAAUGGGGGGAACCCUGAUGCAGCGACGCCGCGUGGGUGAAGGAGUACUUCGGUACGUAAAGCCCUAUCAGCAGGAAAGAAAAUGACGGUACCUGACUAAGAAGCCCCGGCUAACUACGUGCCAGCAGCCGCGGUAAUACGUAGGGGGCAAGCGUUAUCCGGAUUUACUGGGUGUAAAGGGAGCGUAGACGGCAGUGCAAGUCCGGAGUGAAAGCCCGGGGCUCAACCCUGGGACUGCUCUGGAAACUGUAAAGCUGGAGUGCGGGAGGGGCAGGCGGAAUUCCUGGUGUAGCGGUGAAAUGCGUAGAUAUCAGGAGGAACACCGGCGGCGAAGGCGGCCUGCUGGACCGUAACUGACGUUGAGGCUCGAAAGCGUGGGGAGCAAACAGGAUUAGAUACCCCUGUAG
rnacentral:rRNA from 1 species